GUGGGGAAUUUUGGACAAUGGGCGCAAGCCUGAUCCAGCAAUGCCGCGUGCAGGAAGAAGGCCUUCGGGUUGUAAACUGCUUUUGUACGGAACGAAAAGGCUCUGGUUAAUACCUGGGGCUCAUGACGGUACCGUAAGAAUAAGCACCGGCUAACUACGUGCCAUCAGCCGCGGUAAUACGUAGGGUGCAAGCGUUAAUCGGAAUUACUGGGCGUAAAGCGUGCGCAGGCGGUUUUGUAAGACAGACGUGAAAUCCCCGGGCUCAACCUGGGAAUGGCGUUUGUGACUGCAAAGCUGGAGUGCGGCAGAGGGGGAUGGAAUUCCGCGUGUAGCAGUGAAAUGCGUAGAUAUGCGGAGGAACACCGAUGGCGAAGGCAAUCCCCUGGGCCUGCACUGACGCUCAUGCACGAAAGCGUGGGGAGCAAACAGGAUUAGAAACCCUAGUAGUCA
rnacentral:rRNA from 1 species